UUAUACAACACUUCCUCCUGUUUUUCUACCAUAUAGCAAGGGCCAUUGUCAAAUGCCAGUACGUGGAGACAAGACUUCCUUGGCUCCAGCAAUUUACCUCAAGAUACUUGGCAAGAUACUUAGAUGAAAUAGUACAAAUUUGCACCUAACAGGAUCUCAGCAUGAAUCUGAGAAGACCAAACAUCAAGACUGUAGCAGGCUCAAAGACUGUGUCUACCUAUGGCUGGCCAGCAAAGCUGCUUUCCUGUAGAACUGAGGAAGCACUGACUCACACAGCAAGGUGA